ACAUCGAUUUCCUAGUUAGAUAAGGUUAGGAGUCCUAACUAAUUAAGUCUUUUGAUCAGAUAAGGGCAUCCAAUCUAUUUAAGGAGGGGACCUAACUACAGAUUGGUUAUGCAAGAUUUUGUGCAAUAAAACAAAGAAGACCACCGUGAAGAAAAAUAAGGAGGAGUGGAUGCUGAUUUAUUUUUGGCGUGGAGACCCCUUAGGCAUCCUUCUUCUUGGUGUGACAUCUUGGGUGCUCCUAUUUUGGCAUGAAGACUCCCA
rnacentral:lncRNA from 1 species